rnacentral:rRNA from 1 species
UACGUAGGAUCCAAGCGUUGUUCGGAUUUACUGGGCGUAAAGGGCGCGUAGGCGGCAAAUUAAGUCAGCUGUGAAAUCUCCGAGCUUAACUCGGAACUGUCAGCUGAUACUGAUCUGCUAGAGUGCGGAAGGGGCAAUCGGAAUUCUUGGUGUAGCGGUGAAAUGCGUAGAUAUCAAGAGGAAAACCUGAGGUGAAGACGGGUUGCUGGGCCGACACUGAAGCUGAGUGCGCGAAAGCCAGGGGAGCAAACGGG